GAUGAACGCUAGCUACAGGCUUAACACAUGCAAGUCGAGGGGAAACGAUAUUGGAAGCUUGCUUCCGAAAGGCGUCGACCGGCGCACGGGUGAGUAACGCGUAUCCAACCUGCCCAUCACUUGGGGAUAACCUUGCGAAAGUAAGACUAAUACCCAAUGACGUCUCUAGAAGACAUCUGAAAGAGAUUAAAGAUUUAUCGGUGAUGGAUGGGGAUGCGUCUGAUUAGCUUGUUGGCGGGGUAACGGCCCACCAAGGCGACGAUCAGUAGGGGUUCUGAGAGGAAGGUCCCCCACAUUGGAACUGAGACACGGUCCAAACUCCUACGGGAGGCAGCAGUGAGGAAUAUUGGUCAAUGGGCGAGAGCCUGAACCAGCCAAGUAGCGUGCAGGAUGACGGCCCUAUGGGUUGUAAACUGCUUUUAUAAGGGAAUAAAGUGAGAGUCGUGACUCUUUUUGCACGUACCUUAUGAAUAAGGACCGGCUAAUUCCGUGCCAGCAGCCGCCGUAA
rnacentral:rRNA from 1 species